rnacentral:rRNA from 1 species
AACGAACGCUGGCGGCAGGCUUAACACAUGCAAGUCGAGCGCCCCGCAAGGGGAGCGGCAGACGGGUGAGUAACGCGUGGGAACGUACCCUUUGCUACGGAAUAGCUCCGGGAAACUGGAAUUAAUACCGUAUGUGCCCUACGGGGGAAAGAUUUAUCGGCAAAGGAUCGGCCCGCGUUGGAUUAGCUAGUUGGUGGGGUAAUGGCCUACCAAGGCGACGAUCCAUAGCUGGUCUGAGAGGAUGAUCAGCCACACUGGGACUGAGACACGGCCCAGACUCCUACGGGAGGCAGCAGUGGGGAAUCUUGGACAAUGGGCGCAAGCCUGAUCCAGCCAUGCCGCGUGAGUGAAGAAGGCCUUAGGGUUGUAAAACUCUUUCGCCGGUGAAGAUAAUGACGGUAGCCGGAGAAGAAGCCCCGGCUAACUUCGUGCCAGCAGCCGCGGUAAGAC